ensembl:lncRNA
UGCUCUGCGGCCUCCGUGGUGGCAGUGUGCAGAGUCCCGUCCUGUGGCUUAGCCUUGGCACAGCCCUGCGGACGCCUGCCAUGCCCCCUGGUUAUCUGUGCUCGUGCAGGCCCUCAGAGGGCCCCCUCUUUGUCUCUCCAGGAGUGGGUAAGAGGCAAUGGGCACUCAGGUGGAGCCCCUGUGCCCAGGGGCAUGGUUGGGGGGCCAGGUCGUGGAAGGCCACAGCUCCACUCCCAGCGAUGAUUGGUGGAGAACACAGAGCCUGGCUCAGCCGGCAGGGGGCUCAGGAACCUUCUGGGAGGGGAGGGAAACAGGAAGCAGCCUUGCAGGGGAGGAGGCCUUGAGGAGAAGAGAGCUUCCAGACUCUGGAGCGUGAGCUGGGGGAGGCCCGGGGCCAGGCAAGGGUUUGCUGGGACCCCCACCCCGUCUGCGAGGCUGCAACCACAGCCGAGCACGGGCUGGUUCUUGGGUUCAGGUCAGAAAUUCCAGAAACACUGGGUACCACAGCCCACCUCCUCGAGGUGGGCAGUGAGUCCAGGGGAUACCGCUGGAAGGUCACCGUGCAGGGCCAAGCUGUGCCAGCCGCGUGGAGGCACCCUGGUGGAGGGCACUGGGAUGGACAGAAGAGGCUCCCCCUUAACAGUGGAACUCGGGGCGCCUGGGGGCUCAGUCGGUCUUGGUUUCAGCUCAGGUCAUGCCCCCAGGGUCAUGGGGUCCAGCCCCCGGUGAGCUGGAUUCUCUCUCUCCGGCAACCCCUCAAAAAAAAGAAGAAAAGGAAGGAAGAAGGAGGGAAGAGGGGGAGGGGGGAAGGGGGAGAGAGAGAGAAAGGAAGGAAGGAACUCAAGUGUCUGACCUGAGGCCUCAGAUCUAAUGGGGACUGUGAAGGCCUUUGAGGCCCCAGCUCAGCCAGAGCCUGUGUCUUCCCUGGGGACAGGGUCCCGAUGCCUCAGCCACGGGGGCUGAGGGGUCCUGGCUUAUCCCCUUGCGCAUGGAGCUGGCGCACCGGGGCCUCCCAUCUGGGCGGAGGGACAGGAGAGGGUUUUAGAGGAAGCCGUGGGGGGGCCAGAGCAGCUGACGGGCCGGCCGCGUGUCCUCCCCAGAGACAGGGAGCGCCCCGGGAGUGGUGGGAGCGCACCCGGCCCCGGAGGGCGGCAGAGGAGGCCCAGAGGGACAGUCUGGUGCCAGGGCACCAGCGGGAGGGGGAGGGGCCGCACAGAAGGAGGCAGCCGCCUCUGGCCGGCCUGUUUCCUCUUGUCUGAGGAGCCCGAGGGUCCACCCAGGCUGGGCGCCAGGCUGCUCUCCGUCCGCAGGAGGCUCCAGGCUGCGGCUCCAGUCUGCGGUGGGCGGCCCCGGUGCUGUCCCAGUGGGAACGUCUGCCCAAUCCUGCCACCGCCUCAGGUUUCCUGCGAUGCAUCUGUCCUUUUAAAGCCAGAGCUGUCCCCAGAGCACGGUGCUGGCCCCCGGGGUCCCCGGAGUUCCAGGCAGAGCCAGGGCUGUGACCACCGCCCUUCACACGGGGUCCUCGCUCAUGCCUGUUACCCGUGCUUCUCGCUGAGGAGAGCUCGUUGGGGAGGCCGGAGACUGGGUGGUUCUCAGACGCUCUGGACCCUGAAAGGCCCGUGUCCCUGCAGACUUGUAGCUCCUCUACUGUCAGAGCGACGUCCAAGCCACGGCGGCUUUGGAGGAAGUGGUGCUCCCUGCCUCUCGCCGUGUGGCCUCACCGGCGGGCUGCCCCCGCUCCCCGCCCGCCUGUGUCUCGGGGCGCGGCGUGCCCUCCGCGUCCUGUCCCAUCCAUCACCACCCGCGUCUCUGCGCACCAUCCUUCAGGAGCGAGAAGACUUCACACUUAGGCCGUUGGCUCUGCACACGGCCCCCCAGCAGAGCUCCUGUCCCGUGCACGCCCAGGUCCAGGGUGCAGGGACCCCCUCCCAGCCUCUCCCCACGGUACCCAGUGGGAACUAUGACGUCCACGCUACUCUGCAAGAGGAAAGUUGUCCUGUCCUGUGUGGCUUGUGAGCGACAUGAAGAUACUGUACAUAAUCCCUGUCAUAUUUUAUGGCCUGGAAACCUAGGCAUAUUGGUAUAACCUGGAGCGACAGAAAGCCUCAUGAACCAAAUUGGAAAUACAGGACUUGUGGGACGACAAAUACAAACAUCUGACUUCAGGGGCCCGGAUGGCUGAGGCAGCUGAGGUGGUGAUCUCGCGGUUCGCGAGUUCGAGCCCCGUGUCAGACUCUCUGCCAACAGUGAGGAGCCUGCUUGAGAUUCUCUCUCUCUCUCUCUCUCUCUCUCUCUCUCUCUCUCUCUCUCUCUCUCUCUUGUGCACACUCUCACAAAACUAAAUAAACAAUUUUUUAAAAAAGAAAAAUUUAACUUCAUGAAACUGAAAUGUCUAGAUGGCCUAAAAUACCGUAAUCAAAGUCAAAGGAUACAGGUUCACACGUAUUUGGGACAAAGGCUGCUGUCCAUGAUCUGAAGGACUACCAGCAGGCUCUUUUAAAUUUUUUUUUAAUUUUUUUAAUGUUUUAUUUAUUUUUGAUACAGAGAGAGAGAGAGCAUGAGAGGGGGAGGGGCAGAGAGAGAAGGAGACACAGAACCGGAAGCAGGCUCCAGGCUCUGAGCUAGCUGUCAGCACAGAGCCUGACGCGGGGCUGGAACCCACGAACACGAGAUCUGACCUGAGCUGAAGUCGGAAGCUCAACCGACUGAGCCACCCAGGCGCCCCACCCGGUGGGAAAGUGGGCGCAAGGAGCGCCGAGGGGCGGGGCGGUGCCGAUGAGAGGGAGGCUCCAGCUGCGGCACCGGCACCGUCACCGCCAGGGCCACGCCUUCCCAGCCACUGUGGCCCCCGGUGCUGCAACGUGUUGGAAAAUAGAAUCUAAGUUAAAAAUAGGACCUUCUUCGAGCUCUUGGUAACCCGUGCUUCAAUGCACGCAGCCCGACUGGCGGCAUCCGCGCGACUGUGGGCGCCGCCCCAGAGGGACGUGGACCGAACAUGAGCACCUCAGUCCUCCCCAGGAAGGGACUGCGUGUGGCCCUGUCCCCAGGCGGGUAGGGAGCUGGGCCUGCAGGGCGCGGGGACGCCUGCGCCUCCGUCCGUCCCUGCUUGUGGGCCUUGCUCUCAGCAGAAGACUGGAGGCUGGGCCGUCUUCCCCCUCGGUGUUGGGCGCUGAUAGCAAACUGUGGCCCCCGGGGGCUUCUUCCAAAUCACACACUUUUAGUAAAAACAAUAAAGUUGUAUUACUGACUUCAGAGAACACCUGCU